UACGUAGGGUCCGAGCGUUGUCCGGAAUUAUUGGGCGUAAAGGGCUCGUAGGCGGUCCGUCACGUCGGGAGUGAAAACUCGGAGCUCAACUCCGAGCCUGCUUCCGAUACGGGCAGACUAGAGGUAUUCAGGGGAGAACGGAAUUCCUGGUGUAGCGGUGAAAUGCGCAGAUAUCAGGAGGAACACCGGUGGCGAAGGCGGUUCUCUGGGAAUGUCCUGACGCUGAGGAGCGAAAGUGUGGGGAGCGAACAGG
rnacentral:rRNA from 1 species